GUGAUCAUUUCUGCAGCACAUAUACUAAAAUUAGAAUGAUACAGAGAAGAUUUGCAUGGCCCUUGCACAAAGAUGACAUGUAACUUUGUGAAGUGUUUCAUAUAUUU